rnacentral:lncRNA from 1 species
GCGGGAGCCUUGAGAGAGACCCCCUGAGUUUCCCAUGGGGAGCUGAAGUUUGGUUCCUGCCUCUCACUGUGCAUGGUGAUUUAAAAUACGUACCCAUCAUGGGAUACAUGUUGACUGAAUCCACCUGCAUUGGGAUGACUGCUGCAGAAGGCAUUGACUCUGUUUCAUCCCUGCACUUAUUUGGGCUCAUGUGCAAUGCUGAGCUACCCAGAGGACAUCUGUGAACUUGGAAUAGAAAACAGAGUACAAAGAACUCAUCAGAACACCACAGACAGGACCUCUUGAUCACUGGAGAAGCUAUUCAGGCAGCCACUGUCCCCAGAGAACCCCAGGAAAGAACAAAAACAGGGGUGUCAUUUUGGAGCCUUCAGUCAAGAAUCAUCUCCUGUUCUUGGCUGGGCUGCCAUGAGGGUGGGGUGCACACAGAGCCCUGGGAAAGGAAGAAAACACGGUUGCAACACCACUAUUUUGUUUCUUCUAACACCCUCCUUUUUCCCCACUCACAUUUGAGCACUUACGGGCAUCAUUUGUUCUAAAACAAAGGAAGAAAAAUAUAUCUGUUAUGAGUUCCCUCUGUGCUUGACUGAGUUACCUGGCAUUGGGAUGGCUUGUUUUCUGGGAUGCCCAGAGCUGUACACAUUCCUUUCUGGGGUGAAUACUUCGUAUAGAGAGACAUAAACAGCCAACUAGGCUGCAGGGAGUAAACCCUGUUACUAACUUUUCUUUCUUUGGUGCUACAUUCCUGCGGAGAUAAAUAUAUAGAAAGACAGACAGAUUAUAAAGGAGGAAGGGCAUUGUGUCAGCAUGAGGGCUCCAAGAGAACAAAAAGGGUUAUCGUGUGCAAAGGUUGAAAAUAGAAUUUAAAGCUAUCAGGACUGGGGAAAGAGUUGAGGCCUCCCAGGAAAAAUCUGCAAAGAAAACUUGAACCUUCCAGGAAAACAAGCCCUGGGUAGAGUUGGGUGAAACUGAAACCUGAAAAUCCAUUUUCCAGAAAUGCGAUUGGGCAGAGAGGAGGGAAGCCACUACUAUCAAGUUUUUCCCAGAGCAAGCAAGGCACGCUGGCUUUGUACAAAGAGGCUUAUUUAGAAGCUGCCCUGAGCUGAAUGCAGGCAGGUGGGGCAGGGUGGGAGGGUGGGAUGGGUCGUUGAAAUGAGCCAUCCUAACCUUUCAGACAGAAACAGUGCAGCCUAGCUGCUCUGAGGUGCAUGUUUCUAAAACAAGACCUGGAACAUUAAUUUUACAUUUCAGUCUCUUUGUAAAAAGCAGAUGCUCCUCGCCCACCCCCUUGUUUUUUUUUGGCAAGCUUGUGAAAAUCCAACGAACCAAGUCAAGGCUGUCCGCUAGCCACGGGUGCCUUUAUCUUGUGGAGUAUCUGUUCCUUUGUGGAUCAAGCAUGGAAUGAAAACCGUGCUGAAGAAAGGUCGCUUCUCAUUUUAGACUCCAUUUCAAUGGGUAGUUAACCUCUGAGUCAACCGACUCUGUACCCAUGUUCAAUUUCCUCCGCCUGUUGGGCUCUUCCAUUUACCCUCUUUUAUAAUUAGAGUACAUCUUGUUUACAGUGCACAAAGCUGGUUUAAGAUCCAGUUGGCCAUGUGCCCUCUCGUUACAGGACCGUGCUCAGAACAGUCAGCUGUGAGUGCAGCCAGUGGGAUGAAAAAAACUAAGGGAAGGAAGCUGCCCUUUAAGGAACCUCGGCCUUACUGAUUAAAGUAAUAAUUAAGCCAUUAUAUCUGUUGGGGAGCUAUUUGGGCUUGCCUGCUACCUUUUCCAACAAAAGCCCUCAGCCAGAGAUUCCAGCCAAGCACCUCAUUAUCAUGUGGGUGCCAGGGCGGCAUGCCAGGAUCGGCACCCACCCCAGGCAACAUGGUUUAAAUUUUAAACACCUGUCAUCUCCCUGCCUCCAUGUAUCAUUCAUUUUCAGAGGGGAAAGUGACCCUAACAGGAAGUGGGGCUGCCUGAUUCUGGGUUUGCCUUUGAAAGCCAGAAAUGACCCUUCUCCUGAAAUUUUAUUCCAAAUUUAAUUUGAAGCUAUCUCAGUCUAGAAAUAGAUUUGCAUUGGCAUCUCUUGUUGCAGUUGGUAAGGAAAGGAAUUUAGGAUUCAAUUAGAAUUGGUCUUCAUUCUUAACAAGAUUGUUGUCUUAAAGACAAGAAAUAUAUAGCAUGUCUCACUGCAUCCCUCCACUCCCCACCAUGGCAAAAAGGGCCCUGGCAUGCAUAUGUGAUUUUGUGACAUGCAAAGAUCCACUUUUACAACUCCAUGGAGGCAUAUCUUAUUUAGAGAACACUAAGGUAGUUUAAGGCUCUCACUGGCCACUUGCCUUCUUAAAACAGAGACAACCUAUGGAUUAGAGAGGAAGCAAGACUGGAGAAGGCAGUUUGCACCGAUUGGGGCAGGGCAGGUAGAGGAGUGAGCAUGGUUGUAAUAAACUGGGUGGAAUUUAAGGUCUCAGUCCAAAGGCAUCCCAUCUUGCUCCUUCUGGACCCCGUCUCAAGCCUGGCUCCAGCUCCUGAGUCCCACGGCUCUCCAAGGCCUCUUUCUGUUCAUCACAGCCUACGGAGAGAGAUGCAAAGUGGUUUGUGUUUAUUUUAGAAAUAAUCUCAACGUUGCCAGGAAAAGGCUUUCUGGAAAAUGCUGCAGAACUAAAGCUGGUCCAGUAGAAACCGGUUCCAGAGUCUCUUUCACACCAGCCACGCUGCCAGCAUUGUCGGGAGGUUUGAUGUGGUGUGAAUUCCUGCCCCUGGGAGAUGGACGGAGAAAUUCACAGAAUCUUGGGAAAAGAGAGCUUGGGAAAAUCCUGAAGUCUCUCUUUGCAGCCUUUCUUCUACCAACAGACAAGAUGGAAACUGGCCAUUUCAGAGCACUGGCUUCAAGGAUGUCUAAGGGUGUACUCCAACAUGAAAACGGAGCAUGCAUGUGAGCUGAGUAGUGACAUGCAACAUGCAUGUCCAUUGAUCCUUGCUGCUCAUUCACAUACAGUGUUCGCGAUGCCCCCUGGACACAGAAUUCCAGUGGACCCACCACGUGUGGGGAUUCAGGGGAGACUCAAAGCAAAUACAAGGUUCCAUACAGAUAGCCAGCCAUGGGAGUCAGAAUUUGAACUCAGAUCUGGUCUGGUUCUGAAGCCUCUCUUCUUUCCAGCUGUGAGACAAAGGAGCAAAUAUGAGAAGCACCUUUUGCUCACUUCUGCUUGCCAGCAGAAUUUCACAAAAGCCCUGGACUGUGAAGAUGUUUGGAAAGAUGCUUUGAAGACAAAACCUUUAACAGGGUUAGUGUUUAUGCCUCUGUAAUCUACAACCGGAUGCGCUCUUACACCCAAGCCUUGAUGGGAUUCUGCUGCGACGGAAAUUCUGAGCAAAUUUGAUGUGAUUGUGCAGGUACUGAACCUCCACUUCCUGUCUGUAAGCAGUGGGCUGAAAUCCUGGGCUGGAGCAGUCUCAUAGGAUCUGACAGGCUGUUGCCAGGCUGUAGGCCUUGGUCUGUAGUCCUCAGUAAGACUUCUGAAUACAACUAACUUUAAUUCUUUAAAAGCUUGACUGUUUUCUUUAGUCGGCAUGGCAUUCCAUACCAUUCCAGAAACAGAAGCCAGGAGGAUACGUGAAGGAGAGAGCAAUGGCAUAGUGUGUGAAGCUGAUUAGCUGUUAACUAGCAGAACUGAGAGAAGGCAGCCGGCCAAAUGCCCCGGAGGGGCAAGGAAAAGCUUUUUCAGAGAGUUGGGAAGUGGCACUCCAGUGAGGUCGGAAGCCAUGAAGGUUGACUUAUUUAUUCCACAGUAGCUACAAGAAGAGGGGUCUUUCUAGGGAGUGUGACCAGUUUAAGCAAAGGCUUGGGAGGAGGAAUAAUAACGUGCUGGAAGUGGGAAAGGGGACCUGGUUAAGGGGCUGAAAGUUAUUCCUUGUGGAUCACCUUCUCAUCACACGCUCUUUGACCUCAUUGUAGUUCAAUGGAGGGAAAGAGAGUCAAAAGCAGGAGGGAAGUUUGUUUCUAAGCGGACAGGGGCUCAGCAAACCCAGUCUUCCCCGCAGUCUUACCUGGAGCCAUUGCCUGGGGAAGAGGGUGUUCAGGCCACAGUAUCCCAAGGCUGGGGGCACCUUUGCUCAGAAGCCCCCUGUGGUGCUGCUCCUCAAGAGCCUCCUGGGAGGAAGGGCCAGGGAGCCAGGCGGUUCUCCCUUCCCCUUCUGGAAUCCUGGCCAGUUUCCAUGUACAUAACCCAGCUUAAUCCAUAGAAACAGGAGCUGCAAGGCAUGUUCUUUCUCUUUUUUUCCUCUCCAAGACACGGAAACCUUUAUUUUCUCCCUACAUCACAAACCGGUACUGUUAAAUAAUAUUGGAUAAUUGCACCUGUCGUACUCCCCAUAUUGUGCUGGGGAAAAAUAAUUGCUGGUUUUCUGCUUUGCCGUUUAGCUGUGACUCCGUCAUUUGACUCGGAGCAUGUCAUUUUCUCCCAUUUUAGACCGUGUACAGUCAAACCCUGUGAAAGGACUCACAGAUAGCGGCCCUGCGUGUAUGAGUGGGCGCGGGCCUCAUUCAGCAACGAUUUCUAAUUUAUACAGCAUUGAAUAUCCACAGCUAUAAAUAAACAGUUCUGACUGGCUUUGCUGCCUACUCAAAUGCUUUAUUAAAAAAAAAAAAGUCACCAGCAACUGCAUGAGAAAGGAAAACAAGAAUGUCUGGAUGUGGAUUCUGGCUUCUGAAUCCUGGGCUUGGGAGUGGAGACGCCCCACCUUGGGAGCGGCUCAGUGCUCAGCCCCUCCAGUUUUUGGAAGGCCUGGCCUCCUCGCUCCUCGCUCAGCCCCUCACGCUCCCCACGUGUGGGUGCAAUGUGUUUGGGGAUUACAGUAUAUGAAACUGGCUUCCUGUUAUGACAAGUAUUGCAAGUGAGUAGGUGUGGAGGAGCUGAAAAUAGCUUAAGAAAUGUAGGACCCUUCUGGGGAGAGAAUGGGGUUAAGGCAUUGUUUAGGCAACAAGACGAAUCUUCUACCCAAAUUCAAAAUUGGUUUCAAAUGUGAGACAGCAACACUGGAACAGAAGCAUGAGUAUAGGCCAGUCCCUGGGGUAGUGGUGGCAGCGUCCUUCCUCCUCCUGUAACGGGGACAGUUUCCACCAAUUUGGGAUCUCUUGACCACCUUCUUUUGUCCAGCUCUGCAAGAUGUGGACACAUUUCUGUUUUGUUUUUUAAAUAAAGUUUUUGGAUGACCCGGUACUGCUUUGCUCUGUAAGAAAGAGGAAGGAAAGUGGGCUCAGGAGUCAACUAUCCAUGUGACCUUGGACUUGUCAUUUCCCUGCUCUGAACGCAGAGGUGUGCUGGAGCCAGUUUGCACAACAGGCUCUCGAGGACUAAGUGGUUGUCCACAUCUCUUCCCAACUGUACAUUCAGCAACGUGCUGCCAGCUUGAAAAAGGCCAUGGGGAGAGUGUUUACACCAUGGAAAUGAGCACACAUUAUCAAUCAGAGCCUGACAUCUUUUCCCCAGAGAGCUGGUUGUUAAACCUUUCCCAGCACACCACCCUCAGAAACUCAGUUUGCUCAUUUGUAAAAUGAGAACGUAACUCAUCUCCUACUUACGAAGUUUCCGUGGGCUAGAAUAAGUGGGAGUGGUGAUGAAUUACUUGACACUACACAAAUAUUGCUGGUAUCAUCAUGUGGUUGCUAUAGUUGUCAUUUUCUAUUAAGGGCCUAACAUAGUGCUAUGCAAUCUGCAAAUACCAUAUACCUUUUAGCAAAUGUUUAAUCAGUGUGUUAUUGUUUUGUUGUGUAUCUUUUCUUAAGCUACUGCAGCACCGAGCAUGCCCUUGUGUGCUUAGGCAUGUGCUCAAUGGGAAAUUGUUCCGAGACAUUUCUAGUGUUGGAAGAGAUAUUGCACAAUGGCCAGGCAUGCUGCAAUCAAGGUUUAAUUUGGUCCUAGGGCCAGUAAAGCCACAAAUAGAAAUUUGCAGGCUCAUCCCCACCAAGAGCUUACUGUGACUGAGAGUUACGCAGCCCGAGUCACCUCUGGGGUGUGGAACAUUUGGGUGAUCCCCCGAGGGCUUCACGUUUGGGGAAUUUCCACUGUGGCAACUGUUUCUGAGCUCCUGCUGAGACCAGGUGCUUGGAGCAGUGAAGAGGCAGCAGUAGAUGUGGGGAAAGAGGUGGUAUUCCCAGCUCCAACUGGAAAAGACUUGAGGCCCAUAUUAACAGAACAGUAGAAAAAGAAGUGGGAAUUAAGCAGGUUUCUUGGUGCCUGCCCUGGUCUUCCCUUAGGCUGCCUUCCCACCUGAGAUAUUCUGUCCUCUUCUGUAACCCUUCAAGACCACUCUUGCUCAUUUUUACCAGAUUUCUCCUACAUAAUGUUAGGUUGGGAAGUCCAAGUCCAAUUUCCUUCAGUGUCCACACCCCAACCCAUAUGAGCCUAGUGACAUACUAGUAGACUCAAAUAUGUCUACCCACCAAUAGCCAUUUGCCAUUUGUGUUCUUUAAAAAAUGUGCCCACAAAUAAAGGCCAGGAAAAUAACACUAGGAAAAUCACAGCAGGGAUCAUGAAUCCUUGUUAAGCAUCUGGAAAUCAGCUUUGUUAAACCACACACUAAUUCAGAAAAGUGCUUUGUAGCAAAGCAAUCUCAACAGCCCUUAUAAUUCUAUCACUUCCCAUCCAGAUUCUUCUGCAAGCAAAAUUUAUUACUAUACCAUUUAUUUGAUGAAUUAAUCAAUGUUCAAAUGGAAGAGGUUUUGACAAUGUCACUAUGUUUGA